UACGAAGGGUGCAAACGUUGCUCGGAAUCAUUGGGCGUAAAGCGCACGUAGGCGGCCUCAAAAGUCGGAUGUGAAAUCCCGUGGCUCAACCAUGGACGUGCAUUCGAAACUGCGAGGCUUGAGUAUGGAAGAGGGUCGCGGAAUUCCCGGUGUAGAGGUGAAAUUCGUAGAUAUCGGGAGGAACACCAGUGGCGAAGGCGGCGACCUGGGCCAAUACUGACGCUGAGGCGCGAAAGCAUGGGGAGCGAACAGG
rnacentral:rRNA from 1 species